GAAGGGCUGGUUCAGUGGUAGAGUGCUUGCCUUGCAUGCAUGAGGCCCUGGGUUCGAUUCCUUAGCACAACA
rnacentral:tRNA from 1 species